rnacentral:rRNA from 1 species
AGUGAACGCUGGCGGUAGGCCUAACACAUGCAAGUCGAACGGCAGCACAGUAAGAGCUUGCUCUUACGGGUGGCGAGUGGCGGACGGGUGAGGAAUACAUCGGAAUCUACUUUUUCGUGGGGGAUAACGUAGGGAAACUUACGCUAAUACCGCAUACGACCUACGGGUGAAAGCAGGGGAUCUUCGGACCUUGCGCGAUUGAAUGAGCCGAUGUCGGAUUAGCUAGUUGGCGGGGUAAAGGCCCACCAAGGCGACGAUCCGUAGCUGGUCUGAGAGGAUGAUCAGCCACACUGGAACUGAGACACGGUCCAGACUCCUACGGGAGGCAGCAGUGGGGAAUAUUGGACAAUGGGCGCAAGCCUGACCCAGCCAUACCGCGUGGGUGAAGAAGGCCUUCGGGUUGUAAAGCCCUUUUGUUGGGAAAGAACAGCAGCAGGUUAAUACCCCGCUGUUCUGACGGUACCCAAAGAAUAAGCACCGGCUAACUUCGUG